rnacentral:rRNA from 1 species
UACGUAGGCAGCGAGCGUUGUUCGGAGUUACUGGGCGUAAAGAGUGCGUAGGCGGUUUUCUAAGUUUGGUGUGAAAUCUCCCGGCUUAACUGGGAGGGUGCGCCGAAGACUGGAAGGCUUGAGUAUGGGAGAGGUAAGCGGAAUUCCUGGUGUAGCGGUGAAAUGCGUAGAUAUCUGGAGGAACACCGGUGGCGAAGGCGGCAUCCUGGACCGACACUGACGCUGAGGCGCGAAAGCUAGGGUAGCAAACGGG